CCUGCAGAGCGAGCUGUAAAUGGAACUCAGGUUAAGCUUUUGGAUAUUACUGCUAUCUCACAACUACGAGAUGAGGGGCAUAUCUCAAAUCGUACGCUAAGAGCUCCGACAGGCAUUCAUGAUUGCUUGCACUGGUGCCUUCCUGGUAUACCAGAUAUGUGGAAUGAGCUCCUCUUUGCACAGAUUUAGUACCUGUAUACUGCACUUGAGUUAGGGCAUUUUUCUCCCAGAGGCCCAAGAAUCCAUUGAUAUUCCUGNNNCUUCCCAGAGGCCAAAGAACCCAUUAAUAUCCCGCUGGUGGUUUGUACAGGGUGAAUUGCUUUCUACCAGUGUUGUUUGUGAACCAUCCAUGCACAGGUGGAGUUUUUGGUCAUCCAUCCAUGCGAUAGGUGGUUAACAGUGUCAAGAUGAUAGCAUUCUUUCCAGUGUAUUACAGUUCGUUCCAGUUCCCUGAUCCCGUUUCAGAC
rnacentral:lncRNA from 1 species